rnacentral:other from 1 species
CAUCCUCUGCGGUGCUCGAUAGCGGACCGGGUAUAUGCCUUGACCCUAAAGUCAUACCCGGGAGUCGUGAAACAUGCUCGGUGUGCAUGUCCGCGCAAGCGGAAAGCCUAAGAGCGAGUAGUAGCGGCCCCACCUGAACCUCCGGUUCAAGGUCGAAGGUCCGUACCGACAUCGUGGAGGGUGC